rnacentral:pre_miRNA from 1 species
CAACUACUCCCUCCGUCCAAAAAUACUUGUCGGUGAAAUGGAUGUAUCUAGACGUAUUUUAGUUUUAGAUACAUCAUUUUUUAUCCAUUUCUUCGACAAGUAUUUCCGGAGGGAGGGAGUAUAAU